AGGGAGAGAGUAGACAAGGACAAAGAGCAGCAGAAAACAGUGAGGUUGGUAAGAAGGGAGAGACAGAAACCAACCACUAAAGAACGACUCCUUGACAACCUCCAAAUCACAAUGAGGAGAAACUUCCUGGCUCACAUUUUCCACAUAAACACUAGAGUGCUGGGCAAUGUUAAUGGGUCCUGCCUGAUGCACACGAGAACGACCUCUGUCCAAAGCCAGCAGCGAUUGACGUCACAGACAGAGCGUCUCGGGUAAUGUACUCCGCUCCUCUCAUUUAUAUGUUUGACCCUAACCUUCCCCAGAUGUGCAACUGUUCUUCCUUCCAAAAAAGGGAGUUUCAACACUGGCCAUUGUGUGCUCUCUGAAGCCGGCCCUGCAGCCCAAACAAAGGUCCACGUUCCCGAGUCUCAGAGCCAGGUUGUGUGCUGCGGUCUCUCCAGGCGGCUUAGUGUCCCCUCUAGAGACAUGGAUAAUGGGGUUUCUGUCUUGAUGUACAGCUGUCUCAUGCCUGGCUUCUGGCCGGCUGCCUCUCUUUGGCCACAGAGGCAAAAGAAGGCCUUUGUGAUCCUCUCUGCUCCAACUCCUCCUCCUGUCCUGCCUCCAAUCCCUCCUCCCCUCCUGCCUGCUCUCCCUCCAUUCUUGGAUUCAUUUAGUUCACAUCAUUUGCAGUCAUAGGGAUACUUCUGUGUGACUCACUGCCUGAGUUUUUGCUUUCUCUAUUCAGGCAUCCUGCUCCUGUUCACUCAGCUGGGUAGACACCAUCCUCAUUGGCUUCUAAAGUUUCCUCACAUCUAGGCCUUUUUUGACUUUUGGCCCUGCAGCUUCCCCGUGGACUUGCUUACUUUCCUGUCCCUCCUGUGCCCAGUGCUAUAGACCCCAUCCACUGAUCUAUUUACUUUUCUCUUUCUGCUUUGUGUUUCACUUUGUCACUCAGCGGGGUCUCCCCCUCUAACUUGACUGUGUGUCCUCUGAACCUCCAGCCUGAAGCUCUGAGCUGGAUAUUGAAAAUGUAUUCAGUAAAGGUUUGUUGAAUGAGUUAAUCAUGAUGGUGUAGGAAAUGGGAUGGUGAUGUGAAAGGAGGUGUGCAUCUUGGUGGCGUUGGAAGAGCCCGUGGCAAGAAGAGAGCAAGGCCUCCUUCAGCUGAUGAAGAACAGCUUGGUUUCUAGACGACGUGUGUCUGCAGCCUGCAGUGCAGCUUGCUCCAAGGGCCCACGAUGUCCAACGAGUGUCCUCUGUUUUGCAGAAAAGCAGAGGACUGUGGUGAGUUCGGCUCUAAGCUGACCUCUCUGCUCGCCCCGUGGAAAUCACGUGUCCUCAUCCCUCUGUGCUUAACAACCUGUCUUUGCACAAACCUAAGUCCAUCGGCAGGACUUUUCUCUGGGAGGAAGGACACAUGUCUAAGAAAGCGGUGCCCAGAUCCUGGAUAGACUGUUGUGUGGUUUUCUGAGAGCACGUACUGGUGUUGCAGCAAAAUCUCCAAGCCAGAAGCAAAAAAAUAAAAAAGGCCAAGGAAGUGCUUGUAGCCUGUGAUCUGGUCCUUCCAUCUAUCAUAUACCCUCCUCCUUCUCUGGCUCCUCAAGGAAGCUUAAAGGAAGCAGUGAAAAUGCUACCAUGACAUCAUCACUUCAAAUGGCUAGAGUUCCUGUACUCAUGGAGAAGAAGAUGCUGUCCCUUGUUGACUUCAGGAAAUCAGAAAGCUAACUGCCACCACCCCACCUCCCCGCCCCCAGUUGAGACGGCUAUGUGCUCUGGACAACACACGAGGAUGCUUAUGAAUCUGACCUAGUGAACAUGGAAAACAAAGGGCUCCUGAGAAACACUUUUUUUUUUCAGACUGUCAGCCUAAGCGUUGCCUUUGUUUCAAAACUGCCACAAUUCAACAAUGUGUUUUGACAGCAUUUGUUGUGAUUUUUUUUUAACAGAGACUCACCGGAAGAAUCAUACUAAGGAAAUCUCCUUCUCCUCCUCCGAUCUGUUUAUAAAAUGAGGUUAGGAGAUGUGCUGGUUAGUUUUAGCUGUCAGACUGACACAGCCUAGAAUCUCCUGCAAUAAGCUUUUUUUUUUUAAUUGACAAUAAUGUUUUUUAUUAUUUGAGAAUUUUAUGCAUGAAUGUAGUGUAUUUUGAUCAAAUCCACACAUGCCCUCCCCGGUCCCCUCUCCUUCUGUUCCUCUCCUUUCCUUCCCACCACUCACCACAACAAAUCCGCUUCCUGCCACCUGUAUGUGCAUGGGGAGAGAUCCAUUUACUAAGGCACAAGUCCCUUCUCAGGCUCUACAUCCUGGAAGAAAAUGGACUCUCCCUCCCCUAGUAAGCAUCAAUUGCCAAUGGGUCGUCAGCUAGGGCUGGGACUCCAUGAGGCCCCUGCCGACCCAUGCUGGGGUUUUUGCUGCCUUGAUUUUGUGUUGGUCUUGUGCAUGCAUUCUUAGUCACUGUGAGUUCUUGUGUGCAGCUCUGCAGUUAUGUACAACAAAAACCUUUUCACUGCAGGAACCUUUUCACCAACUCCUUGUUCAGUGAUCUCUGGGGCCUUAGGAGGGGAGUGAUAUAGAGGUCCCAUUUUGAGUUGUGUACUCACAGCCAUAUUCUCUGCCCAUUGAACAGAUAUAGGUCUUUGUUAUUAUUCACAAUCUAUUGCAAAAAGAAGAUUCUCUGGUGAGGUAUGACAAAUGCACCAAUCUGUGGUAUAAAGUAAGACACAAUGGGCAGUUUAUUACAAUGUUUAUUUAAUAUUAGGUCCUCUCCUAGAACCUUUGUCAUAGCCAUGGUGUUUUGUUUGUUUGUUUUCUUUUUGCUGUUGUUUUUUGUUUAUUUGUUUUGUUUUAUUGUGACCUAGUUAAAGGUAGCAGGCAUGAGUUCUGUCUUAUAGAAUGGGUUUAAAUCCAGAGAGUAGGUGGUUGCCUCCAUUCUCCACAGGCCACCAUUGUACAGACGGCAUAUGCUGUCAAGCCAAAGUGUGCACAGAACCUUGAGAACAACACUUCUUUCUUAGGUGCUUAUUCUGUGAGAGCCAAGGCCCAGAUAAUGCCAGACCUCACAAUGAGAGAAGUUUCAGUAGUUUAUGCUCUUUAAAGCUCACUAAAAUUACAUAUAAAUCUCAUGUUUAUAUGAAAACUGAUGCUUAGAACUACAACACAGUGUUUCAACUCCAAAAAGCCUUUUAUGACAAGACAUUAUUUAAUGUCGUUCUAAAGAAGAAAAGGCAUGUUCUAUUACGGUACGAUAUACCAUAGAUUUCGUGACAGCGUGUCACUGCCUUAGAUGUUUAAAAUGUGAGAAAAAAAAUGUAUAUUAACGUAGAAUAAAUGCCUUGUAUACCUACUAGAUGUUAAUUAGAACUCAGGAUCUAGUUUGUUUGAUCAUUUUGUGUUUCUGAUAACCUUGUGGUUUUUGUUCAAAUGCUAAAUGGCCAGUGAAAUAUAUAUCUAAGUGGAAACUCCGGUAGAUAUUUGUUUAUUAACUCAGUUUCCAAGUCCAGCUUGAAAAGUGAUAUUUGAAGGACAUCUGCUCCAUUUUCCCAUUACAAAUGGCCCAGAAACACUGUCUUUAGCUCAAUCUCUUUGGCAAGUCACCACACAUCCCUGACCUGGGGUCACAUGUUCUGGUGGGAAUGGGAGCUGUAUCAUUGGGUGUGAAGUUUGAAAAUGUCUUCUUGGACACAGAUCUUCCACAUGAACUCCUGAUCCUUCAUUGUCCCACCCUGGACCACACACAUCCCGGCUGGAAGCCUCUUCCACAACCAGCUCACCGUCUGGAGGCAAUGGUGUCAUCUCUCUUGGCAUCCAUCUAUGGAUCUCCUGUUGGUGAUCCAGAACUUCUCAGACUUCUCCAUGUGGUGUUGCUCCUUCAUUCAUUCUGAGAGGCCAAGACGCAGUCUUCAGACUGAUGGGGGAAGCUUGCGGAAUAGUAACAGUUGCUGCAAGGGAACCGGGUCCACAGACUUGCUUGAGGAGAGGCCGCCAGUAGCUGUGGGUGGAGCUGGCCAAGCAUCUGCUCACUUGCAAGACCUCACCUGGAUGGAUUUCGUCAGUCAAUGAGAUCUGAGAGGCUGCAGGUGUUAGGUCACAGCAGGAAUCUGAGGUCCUUCAGGAACUCUUACAGAUGUUGUCAGUGACCAUUUAGGUUCUUUCCACUAUAGUAAUUCUGGUUGACAAUAGCCAGCCAACUUCUAUGAAUAGAGACCUAACUGAUCUUUGAAAGGACAUCAAAAUCGGUAGAAUGCACUCCCCGUCUCACUCAAGUCCAGGCUUUUACAUACUGUUUCCACAUUAGAUUUCUUUUACUCGUAAAAGCAUUUAUCACUAAAUCUGUACUCACAGCUCAAACAACUGAUGCAGCAAAAAUGCUACCACUGUGGCUGAAGAGAGAGCUCAAAGGUAAAGAAUACUGGCUGUUAUUUCAGAGGACCCAGGUUCAAUUCCCAGCACCCACAUGGCAGUUCACAACCAUCUGUAACUCCAGUUUCAGGGUAUCAGAUGCCCUCUUCUGUCUAUCACAGGCACCAGGUACACAUGUGUCACACAGACACACAGACAAGCAAAACACCCAUACACAUAAAAUAAAAUAAACAUGUUUAACCAAAGACAGAAAAUUCUACCCCUGAGAAGCAAAUGAAGCCAAGGGUCAUAUCUUGCCCUUGGAAUGAGGGUGGAUAAAGAGAAUCUGUCUUCCCAGCUAGCAACCGGAGAAAGAACUGAUGACCUGGAUUGUGUUCAGCUCCAAGGAAAUCUGGACGACAAGGAAAGACUUUUGUACAUCCCAGAGCACAAGCCUGCCCAUAUGAUAAACAUAAAGAGAACAUUAAACAGAGAGUAGAUCAUUGUGGCUGGGUCCAUUGGGUCAUGAAUCAUAAUCUUUCUGGCCCACACAUUUCCACCCCCACAUCUUCUGGAUGAAUUUAAGCAAAAUUAUAUUAGGAUUGUCUAUAUCUUUUUCCCUCUUUGGUUCCUCACAUUACAUUAACCAUAAACGGUUUAUCUAUAGUUGUUUUUAAAAAGCUUUUAUUUUUUUUUAAAAAAGUGGCUAUAAUUUAUAUUAAUAGUAUGGUUGUGGGCAUUUUAAUAAUUUUCAUUUUUAUUAUAUAAAAUACAUUAAGAUAUAUGCAUAAAUAUUGAUCAUAGACCAACUAGAAAUAGAAACAGUUUUAAUUAUUUUUGGUGAAAUCCCACAUGGAUUUAACCACUGUAUGUGUAUUAAGACAGAGAGACUGUUCUCAGCUGGGGACCCCAGCUGUCCCCCAGGGAACAUUGGCAAUGUCUGGAGACUUUGUCUUUUGUUUUUUUUUUUGUUGUUGUUUUGUUUUUUUGUUUUGUUUUUUGAGAUCAGAGUCUCACUAUGCAGCCUAGGUUGCAACCCUAGGUUGGAACCCAACCUAGGGUUCCAGCCUAGGUCUGGAACCCAAGCUGCUGUUAGACAAAUGGGCUCCUGCAGUCGCCCUGCAUUGGCUUCCUCAGUGGCUGGCCCUACGGUAUGUGGCAUCACACCUGGCUUGGAGACAUUAUUUUUUUAAUUGUUAUGUCUCAGAAGGAGAUAUCUAAUGGCUUCUAAUAGAGAUAGAAACCUCAGAUAUCACUAAAUAGUCUAUUCUGCACAGAGAGACCCCUAUAACAAAGAGUUUCUCAGCCCAAAUUAGCCCUGCUGUAGAACUUUCCAGACACUUUCAUGCAAAUACCCCCAAAUGGAGGUCAUGUUGACUUGUUCUGUCUAAUAAAAGAUGUUUAAUGAACUAUCUUAUUUUAACUAAUUAUUACAUUUUGAUGUACCAGUCAUAUUUAUAGCAGAAUUUAACAGCAUGGUGAGAAUUAUUUUCUCUGUACAUGAUGCUUUAAUUUUGUAAUAGCAAAAACAGUAACUGAAAAUUGCAGAUAUUAAGAGUUCUUCAUAAGCCAAGCAUGGUGGCUAUGCCUGUAAUUCCAGCACUUGGAAGGUAGAGAUGUGAGAUCAGAGUUCAAGGCUAGCCUUAGCUACAUACAUUUGAAGCUAGUUUUGGCUAUAUGAGGUUUUUUAGUAAGUAAGGGGAAGAAGUCCUUCAAAGAUUCUGUAAGGACUCAGUUUGACCUGUCUGCAGCAAUUCUGAGCUGUAACUGUCAUUACUGCCUGGAGUUUACCCAGUUGGUUUUACCAUGAAGUUUCCCAUAUAUACUUUCCCAUAUACCGUGAAGAAGCACACCAAAGAAGAAGGAGUAAGAGAAGGAGGAGGAGGAAGAAAGUCCCACCUAGAUAACCUUGGCUAUGUCAUUAGCCAGAGUGAGCCCUGGUUGCCUUAAUCUGUACCACAAAGAUCAUGCUGAAGAUUAUGUAUGGAAUUAUCAAGGCAACUGGACCCUACAGAUCUCCGUGACUAAGGGAAGAGGUUGUCAGCUUCUUUUCAAAGGUACCCGUGGAUGAGGAUGUGCUGAUGAUCCUUGCUGGAAUUCUAGGAGACCGAUCAUCAGCUUCAAGGGAUGGCGUCCUUCAAACAUGACAUUCACAUUAUCUUUCAGGAUAUUUAUAGCGUGGAACUGCUCACAUUCAGAGACCCAUUACCUGAGACUGGCCAGCCAUGUCCUUCUGUACCAUACAGAAUAAAGACACUGAGGAUCCAAGAUUUUUUCGAUAGUAGAAGUGAAGAUUUUUCGAGUGGUAUAGAGAAAACUCUCGAGUGAGUUUUAAAAUUAUGCUGUCGUCUUUGAAGAACAAACAAGGACAUGCAUGAUGAAGAAGAAGAGCAACAGGCACGGUGUGAGUUAUGAGGCUCAACACUGAACACGAGAUGCUCAGUGGAAUGUUUUCGUUGACAGGCUCAAGACGAUGAUAAAGGAAAGGGAGCAAAGGGCACCGAAGUGUUUGCCCAACAAAGGCAUUCCAGACUGACCGGGAAGGAGGGGAGGAAAGAGGUAACAAUGAUUCUCUGCAAAGGAAUGGAUUAAAAUUGGGACAAGAGAUAGCCUGCUGAUAGCUAGCUAAGUCUUUGCUCUCUCCAGAACUCUAGGACAAGUGGAACAAAAAGAAGGGCAAGGAUGGAAUUCUCGGUGGAUAAACAUGGUAGGGGUCAGAUCCCAGAGCUCCAGAUGUAAAAACUAUGACAAAGUGAAACCGUUUCUUGUGUUUGCUGGUUUCUCUGAGUGUGGAACACUUCUGAGGGGCUGUCAGUGCAGUUUGAAGCAUGGAAUUUACUGCUGAAGGGGAAAGACAUGAACAAGCUAGAUAUUGUAGGAAGGCUACAGGUGAUUGUACACACACACACAUGCACACACGCACACACACACACACACACUGUCUAGCAGAAAUGAAGAUAUUCUAACUUAAACCUCUCAGUCUUUCAGACUGUUGUGAACAAUGAACCUCAAAUAAAUGGGGAUUUCCCCGGAAAUCUCAUGCCUGGAAAAGGAAAAGCCACGAGCCAGAGGGAGGGAGAACUCGUCUCCUUGAAAGAUAUUCCAAACAGUUUUAACAGCUGGUCAGACCACUUUACAGGAUGACACUGAAACCCAGAUAACCAUGCAUCAGUGCAUGGGCCUUGACUUGACUGGAAUUGCUCAGAUGGACUUUACCUCAGCCUUUGCUUAAACCUCAACCUCACCUUUUAGAAGCCCCAAAGACAUUCCUGUGGGACUUGCUGGGUUUCUUUGUCCCUCUUGCCAAUGUGGCCACAUAGAAUAAUCCUCGUUUUUCUUCUUUUUUAAUUGGCUUUUUGAGGACAGGUAGCUGAGCCUGACUUGGGGCAUACAUGGUAAACACCAUAACAAAUUCACAGACUUAAAAUAAUGCAAAUGUACUACAGUUCUGGAGCUCAGAAGCCCUCGGUGGGUCAUCUCAACCUGUGUUCUUGCUCUUCCACAUUCCUUGGCUUGUGUCCUCACAGUACUUCUCUACUCCUAUUUUCACACCCGCACUGACUCUGACCUCCUGACUUGCUUUGACAAAGAGCUUAUUGGUACAAGGGGGACACCAUGUCACUCACAGUCAUUCAGCAUCUCAGUGUAGUCGGCCAAAGUGCACGUUCAAAUUCGCUCUUCCCAUCUAAGCUGACACACCGACUGUGCCAGGGAUCAGGGUGUGGACUUGGGUUUGCGGUGGGCACAUCAUUGUAUCUACCACAGUUUACUGAUACAACAAUUUGCUACGAAUGAAGCGGUUCAAAGUGAUACACAUAUAUUAUUUUAUAAGCUAAUCAAAAGUGGGCUUUACUGGACAAGAACUAUGUUGUCAGAGAUGCAUUACUUCAGAAGGUUCUCAGGGACAAUUGUGUUCAUUGCCUUCAUAAAAAAAAAAUCAUUUUGAGGGGUAGCUUCUUUUUUUAUUUUAUUUUUUAGCAUGAAGACCUUCGGUCUUGGUAAAUGCCACUCUCGCCUUUUCAUAUUAAUAUCAAUUCUUCUCUAUCACUCUUUCACUCAUAUAGAUCCUGGACAUUUGAAAUUCGACUGAUUAGCAAUGUUAAUUACAUUCUUCUUUGCCAGAGGAAUGGAUACAUCCACGGGUUCCCAGGGUCAGGACCUGGGCAUUUUGUGGGGGACGUUCAUUAUUUUGGCUAUGUUAUCAUGCUCACACUUCAGAUUCAGCCUGUAAGCCAUGCCUCCCUUUAUUAUACAGGCACUCAAGGUCUAAAGAAUAAACAUUUACUGAAUUAACCCAAGUGGCUUUGAAAAUUGAAACAAAAAAAUUAUGAAAAGAGGCAAUUCAAUAGAUAGAAAACGGAAAGUAUGGAUGCACCACUGCCACCACUACCACCACCAAAACAUCUAACAUUUGGAGCAAAGAAAAGAGAAGAAGUAAAAGAAAAACCAGCCACCCAGAGAGUGGAGCUACGGUUGUAGAAAAAAAUGCAUUCUAUGGCCACCUACUUUGGUGAAAUACAUCCUGAGGACCUUUACCCAUGACAGAAGAGGCUGGCAUUCUGCUCCCUCCACUGUGAACAUAGAAAGCAAACAAAUGCAAAGUUUGGAAUCAGGGUAAGAACUUUCCAUUCCUUCUACUAAUGGUGUCAAGCUUGAUACUGCUGAAAAGGGACCACAAUUUCCAUGUAGGCAUCUCUAUGGGGGGAAAAUGUAAUCCACUGGAGGACAAAGAUUUUUAAAGGGAGACAGACUGACACUGGGUGAAAAAGAAGAUGAAUUUACAAAGCUGCAAAAGCAAAUCCUGAACUCUGUCCUCACAUCCUGAAUGGCAUCCUCAUAGUUAUCUUCAGCCUAUUUAUCGACAAUGUCAAACAGAGAUCAAACAGGAGGUCAGAAAAAUAAAUUCUCUGGGAGCCUCAAGUUUCAGGAGACUAUAAGUCACUACACUUAUUUUUUGUAGGCUUUCAUCAGUAUUAGCUGGCUGAAAAUAGCAGCUGCAAAAUUUGGGAAUGCUCAACAGAGUCCUGGGCAGCACUGAUGCUCGUGGCUAAGACUUGGGACCCACAUUCAAUCCCCUGAACCCUCAUGGUGGAUCAAAGAACAACUAAUUCUAUCAAGCUGUCCUCUGACUUCCAUACACAAUGCCAGAGUGUGGGUGUGCACUUGUGUCACGCACACACACAUGCACACACACUGAAUAAUUAAUUAAAAAUAAUGCCAGGUUUCUAACUGACUGGGAGAAGGUGAGAAUUCAGUGUUAAGACAAACACCUGUCAACACAAAAAAGCAUGAAGAAAAAAAUAAUAACUUUACCCAGUCAGGAAGUUAUUGAGCAAAAUUCAUGGCUGCACAAUUGUCAUGCCUCCCGAAGAGACAAGAAUGCUAACAAACUACAGAUGUGUGUCUAAAAUGAUGAAGCUGCUUUGGAAGGCAGGCUGGUAGUCUCUCAAAUGGUGACACAUGGAAUUGCUCUAUGACACAUUAAUUCCAAUGCUAUACAUAAUGGAGUAAAAGCACAUAUCCAUCCAAAAAAAAGUGAAUAUAGCAGAAUUAUUCAUAAUAUCCAAAUGACAGAAGUUAUUUUUUAUGUCCAAAAACGACUUAUGGGUAAAUGAUACUGUGUCUUUAUAGUAAGAUGUUAUCCAGACAUAAAAAGAAACGGGAUACUGAUGCAUGUAUAGAUACAUGUGUACCUGCAUAUAACAAGACAGAUCAGCUGUUAUCACCCUGAGGCUUUCGGAGUUAGAUGACCCUUUCACAGGGGUCACCUUUCGGAGUUAGAUGACCCUUUCACAGGGGUCACCUAAGACCAUCAGAAAGCAGAUAUUUAUUUUAUGAUUCAUAACAGUAGCACAUUUGCAGUUAUGAAGCAGCAAUGAAAAUAAUGUUAUGGUUGGGGGGGUCACGAGAACAUGAGGAACUGUAUUAAAAGUUCGCAGCAUUUGGGAAGGUUGAGGACCACUGAUAUAGAUGAAGCUUGAAAAAUAUUGUGGGAAGUGAAAGAAAUUAGUCAUGGAAGGCAGAAACAAAAAUCCCAGAAAGCUUGUGAGCCCGGGGCACCCAACAACAAAUGCCUUCUCACUGGCUGUGGAGGCCAAAGAUUGAUAUUGUAUUCUUCCUUGAUAUACUGUCUGCUGAGUAUGUUGAGGUAGGAUCUCUUGAUGAACAUAGAACUCACUCCCAGUGUUACUAUUCCAGCUAGCCAGUCUUCUCCAGGCAUCCCUCAUCCCCAUCUCUCAAGAACUGGAAUUACAGAUGGGCAAACAUGGCCACCUGACAUUUACAUGAGUACUGGGGUAUCCAAACUCCAGGCAUCAUGCUUGCACAGCAAGUGCUUUAUCCACUAUAUCAUCGCUCCAGUCCCAAGAUCUUAUUAAUUAAAAACAAAAUGCAGUCUGUGGCUUUCUUUUACUGGAAUCAGUAGCUUGUGUCUAUAGCCCUAGCGAGGCUAUGGAAAUAUGGAUUGCAGAGACAAAAGGAUUCUAGGAAGCAAGCGCGCCAGCUACCUUGGCAUGUGCACUGGCAAAUAACAGGAGAGUCAUUCUCAAACAAGGGAGAAAAAGGUAAUAACAGACACUCAGAAUUGUUCUCUAUAUGCACACCAUGCUAUGUGUGAACUCUUACACACACCAUAUUCACACACACACAGCAUAGUCACACAAUACACAAAAUAAAAAGAGCACCAUUACUAUAAUGUUGUUAAUUAUCACUUUCAUUGUAUAUAUGUUUCCUGAAAGCUUCUAUGUUUUGGACUGAGGCUAAAACAAUAAACAAAAUGGAGGUAGAGAGAACUGGCAUUUCCUUUCUGUGUCCAAUGGAUGUCAUCAACAAACUAAUAAAGCAGAAGCACAUUUACCCAGGGUUGUCAAGCUUAGUGCAUUCAGGAUGAACCAGACACGUUGGUGUAUGGUUCAGGACUGACUUUCAGAGAGUGCCCAUCAGUUUGCUCCCAAGAGGAAGGCACAACAAUUGAAGAUAGUGCUCCAUGGGAAUUACACAAUUCAUGGAUUGUUUCUAAGCCAAGGGCAGGAAGCAAUGUUCCAAACAAACAAACAAACAAACAAAAUUAUCUCAACUAGAUGAAGAGAAACCAUAGUGCACAAAGCUAGCAGGGCUUCUCCAGAGUUGAAGUUCUUACUCUGUGAACUUCGGCAACUUUGC